rnacentral:rRNA from 1 species
GGUCGAUAGUCUUUCGCCCCAUGCGCAGAUUUGACGAUCGAUUUGCACGUCAGAACCGCUGCGAGCCUCCACCAGAGUUUCCUCUGGCUUCACCCUAUCCACGCAUAGUUCACCAUCUUUCGGGUCCGAACAGUUAUGCUCUUACUCAAAUCCAUCCGAAGACAUCAGGAUCGGUCGAUGAUGCACCCGUAAGGGCUCUCACCUCCGUUCACUUUCAUUACGCUUGAGGGUUUAACACCCAAAAACUCGCAUAAAUGUUCGACUCCUUGGUCCGUGUUUCAAGACGGGUGGCUGAUGACCAUUAUGCCAGCAUCCUAGCCGAAGCGCGGUCCUCAGUCCCAGCGGCGGUAUUACACAGCAGGCUAUAACACUCCCGGGGGAGUCACGUUCCUGAAGUCUUUAUCCCGCCGCCGAAACUGAUGCUGGCCUCAACCAAGCGGAGUGCACCGGUGAGAACACCGGAUGAUCCGCAAGGCAAAGGUCUGGUCACAAGCCCUUCCCUUUCAACAAUUUCACGUACUAUUUAACCCUCUUUUCAAAGUGCUUUUCAUCUUUCGAUCACUCUACUUGUGCGCUAUCGGUCUCUGGCCGGUAUUUAGCUUUAGAAGAAAUUUACCUCCCAUUUAGAGCAGCAUUCCCAAACUACUCGACUCGUCGAAGGAGAUUUACAGAGGCUCGGCAUCCAACCGUACGGGGCUCUCACCCUCUAAGGCGUCCUGUUCCAAGGAACUCGGAAGGUACCUAACCAAAAUCAUCCUCUACAAAUUACAACUCGGACCCGAGGGCCAGAUUUCAAAUUUGAGCUGUUGCCGCUUCACUCGCCGUUACUAGGGCAU